rnacentral:rRNA from 1 species
AAUGGAGGCAACUCUGAUCCAGCCAUGCCGCGUGAAGGAAGACGGCCUAUGGGUUGUAAACUUCUUUUAUACAGGAAGAACCUUUCCACGUGUGGAAAGUUGACGGUACUGUAAGAAUAAGGAUCGGCUAACUCCGUGCCAGCAGCCGCGGUAAUACGGAGGAUCCAAGCGUUAUCCGGAAUUAAUGGGUUUAAAGGGUCCGCAGGCUGUUUGUUAAGUCAGAGGUGAAAUCCUACCGCUCAACGGUAGAACUGCCUUUGAUACUGGCAAACUUGAGUUAUUGUGAAGUAGUUAGAAUGUGUAGUGUAGCGGUGAAAUGCAUAGAUAUUACACAGAAUACCGAUUGCGAAAGCAGAUUACUAACAAUAUACUGACGCUGAGGGACGAAAGCGUGGGUAGCGAACAGGAUU